rnacentral:rRNA from 1 species
GAUGAACGCUGGCGGCGUGCCUAAUACAUGCAAGUCGAGCGAACAGACGAGGAGCUUGCUCCUCUGACGUUAGCGGCGGACGGGUGAGUAACACGUGGAUAACCUACCUAUAAGACUGGGAUAACGUCGGGAAAACGGAGCUAAUACCGGAUAAUAUAUUGAACCGCAUGGUUCAAUAGUGAAAGACGGAUUUGCUGUAACUUAUAGAUGGAACCGCGACGCAUUAGCUAGUAGGUAAGGUAACGGCUUACCAAGGCAACGAUCCGUAGCCGACCUGAGAGGGUGAUCGGCCACACUGGAACUGAGACACGGUCCAGACUCCUACGGGAGGCAGCAGUAGGGAAUCUUCCGCAAUGGGCGAAAGCCUGACGGAGCAACGCCGCGUGAGUGAUGAAGUUCUUCGGAUCGUAAAACUCUGUUAUUAGGGAAGAACAAAUGUGUAAGUAACUAUGCACGUCUUGACGGUACCUAAUCAGAAAGCCACGGCUAACUACGUG